rnacentral:rRNA from 1 species
CGAUACGUAAUGCGAAUUGCAGAAUUCAGUGAGUCAUCGAAAUUUUGAACGCACAUUGCACUUUCGGGAUAUUCCUGGAAGUAUGCUUGUAUCAGUGUCCGUACAUCAAACUUGCCUUUCUUUUUUUGUGUAGUCAAGGAGAGAAAUGGCAGAUGUGAGGUGUCUCGCUGACUCCCUCUUCGGAGGAGAAGACGCGAGUCCCUUUAAAUGUACGUUCGCUCUUUCUUGUGUUUGAGAGAAGUGCUGACCUUCGAAACGCAGUGAUCUGUUUGGAUCGCUUUGCGCGAGUGGGCGACUUCGGUUAGGACAUUAAAAGGAAGCAACCUCUAUUGGCGGUAUGUUAGGCUUCGGCCCGACGUUGCAGCUGAGAGUGUGUUGUUUUCUGUUCUUUCCUUGAGGUGUACCUGUCUUGUGUGAGGCAAUGGUCUGGGCAAAUGGUUAUUGUGAAGUAGGGGGUUGCUGCUCUUGAGCGCUCUAUGAUUUAUUGUAGAGUAGAGGAGGACAACACCAAUUUGGGACUAGUCUGCGGGAUUAAUUUUCUGUGGGCGCUUUUCAAUUGACCUGAAUCAGAA